rnacentral:rRNA from 1 species
UUCUUUAAAGUUAAAAAAUUUGGCGGUAUUUUAGUCUGUUCAGAGGAGCCUGUUUCUUAAUUGAUAGUCCACGAUAAAUUUUACCUUAGCUUUAAAUUUGCAUAUCGUUGUUUAUAAAAAUUUUAGGAUAGAAUUUUUUCAGAUCAAGGUGUAGUGGAUGCUGAGGAGGGGAUGGGUUACAUUGGAAAUUUCAGGUUAAUUGGAUUUGAUAGUAAGCUCUAAAAUAUGCACAUAUCGCCCGUCGCUUUCAUUAUAAUGUGAAAUAAGUCGUAACAAAGUAGGCCUAUUGGAAAAUGGGCCUGGAAUGCAAGUUAGAGCUUGGUAAGCAUUUUAUUUACAUUAAAGGGUUAAUUGUGAAAUUCAAUUUGACUUGAAUUUUUUAUGUUAUUUUGUUUAUUUUUUUGUUUGUUUUGCUAGAAGUGAAUUUGUUUAUAUUGUUUUUUUGAAAUAAUUUAAUUAUAGUUAAUUUUACUGUAGAGGAUUUAAUAUUAGUGUUUGAAAGAAAAUUUUUGUUGUUGUACCUUGUGUGUCAGGGUUAAUUUAUUUAAUUUUCCCGAUUUCUUAAGAGCUACUUUUACUGUAAAAUAAGUAUUUAUAAUUUUGUUGUGGGAGUGAAAUGCUAUUCGAUUAAGAAUGUAUCUGGUUUUUUAAUAAAUGAAUUUAAUUCAAUUAUUGAUUAUUAAGUUGAUAGGGGAUAAGCUCUUGAUUAGAUUAGGAUAAGAAAUGAUUUAGUAGAUUUUUAUAGGAUUAGAAUUUUUCAUUGUUUUAUUAUGUUAUAGUUAGUUCUUUUCGUUAUUUAUUAAGAUUAUUUCUUUAACUUUAAAGGUUAUGAGAUAAUGAUUAAAUUAGUAAGGUUAUUUAAAGGAAUUCGGCAAAUUUGAAUUUCACCUGUUUAAUAAAAACAUGUCUUUUUGAUGAUGAUUUAAGGUCGGGCCUGCCCAAUGAUUAAAUGGCCGCAGUAUUUUGACUGUGCAAAGGUAGCAUAAUCAUUAGUUUCUUAAUUAGAAGCUGGAAUGAAAGGUUUGAUGAGAGAUUAACUGUCUCUAGAAUUUUAUUUUUGAGUUAGAAAGCUUAAAUUUUAUAAAAAGACGAGAAGACCCUAUAGAGUUUUUUUAUUGGGGUGACGGAAAAAUUGAUUAAACUUUUUAUU